GGCUAGAAGUGAUCGGGCAAAGCAUGGAGGCUGGUUGAGAGCUACUCCUGCGAGGUGGCUGGGCGGGACCAAGCCCCCUGGGGGAUGAGACCGACUCAAGGGGCUUUUCCCAGCCAUUGUCGAGGCCGCUGCUGCAAGGAAUGAAGGGAAACCUCGGCUGUGCCGCCCUGUGAGUCAUUCUCAAGCCUGGUGACGCCCGAGUGUCCAGCGAGGCAGGCAGCCGAGGAGCGGCGGGGCUCUUCAUGUAACACGUUCUGAAGGGGCAGAGGUACUGAAUGGUAGGGGAAACAAAUUCCUAAUGCUGAUUACGUAGUGAAGGAGCGGGCUCAGAAGCUCUAUGACUUCUCUCUCCCUUCGGGGAUUCAACGAACAACACAAUCCACGCACUACCAUGUUGAGAAUAGUAUCAGGACGGCACCUGCUGGUGGGGAAAAAAACAGACGCAACAAAUGCAAGAAGGAAAAAAAACCUUCACAAAAAUGGUGGAAGGGCAGGGAAGAACUGGCUUCGAGUUUAAAGGCUGCAUCAAACACGUGUCCUUCGCCUUUUAAUUUCUAAACACGAUAAACAGCUGUGCGUCCCUCAGUGAUUUGAUUUUCAAAAAGAGGCGCUUUGGCCGCUUAAAGACUAGCAUUUAUGUUAAUAUGAGCUUCUGUGAGUCACAGCCCACUUGCUCAAGUAAAAAUGGGGUAAAACCUCAUCAAGGAAAUUCUAUGGGUGACUGGGGGGUGUCCAUACUAUGAAUUAUAUCUUUGUCUAUAUCUAUAUGAAUUAAUCUUUCAAGUGUAAAUCUCAACAUAAAGAGAAAAAUAAUGUAGAAA